UAACACAUGCAAGUCGAACGGUAGCAGGAAGAAAGCUUGCUUUCUUUGCUGACGAGUGGCGGACGGGUGAGUAAUGCUUGGGAAUCUGGCUUAUGGAGGGGGAUAACUGUGGGAAACUGCAGCUAAUACCGCGUAAUCUCUGAGGAGUAAAGGGUGGGACCUCUUGGCCACCUGCCAUAAGAUGAGCCCAAGUGGGAUUAGGUAGUUGGUGGGGUAAAGGCCUACCAAGCCUGCGAUCUCUAGCUGGUCUGAGAGGAUGACCAGCCACACUGGAACUGAGACACGGUCCAGACUCCUACGGGAGGCAGCAGUGGGGAAUAUUGCGCAAUGGGGGGAACCCUGACGCAGCCAUGCCGCGUGAAUGAAGAAGGCCUUCGGGUUGUAAAGUUCUUUCGGUAAUGAGGAAGGGAUGUUGUUAAAUAGAUGGCAUCAUUGACG
rnacentral:rRNA from 1 species